GAACCGACUACCGUUGAAAAGUUAGCGGAUGACCUGUGGAUCGGAGUGAAAGGCUAAUCAAGCUCGGAGAUAGCUGGUUCUCCUCGAAAGCUAUUUAGGUAGCGCCUCAUGUAUCACUGUAGGGGGUAGAGCACUGUUUCGGCUAGGGGGUCAUCCCGACUUACCAAACCGAUGCAAACUCCGAAUACCUACAAGUGCCGAGCAUGGGAGACACACGGCGGGUGCUAACGUCCGUCGUGAAAAGGGAAACAACCCAGACCGUCAGCUAAGGUCCCAAAGUUAUGGUUAAGUGGGAAACGAUGUGGGAAGGCUUAGACAGCUAGGAGGUUGGCUUAGAAGCAGCCACCCUUUAAAGAAAGCGUAAUAGCUCACUAGUCGAGUCGGCCUGCGCGGAAGAUGUAACGGGGCUCAAACCAUACACCGAAGCUACGGGUAUCACGUAAGUGAUGCGGUAGAGGAGCGUUCUGUAAGCCUAUGAAGGUGAGUUGAGAAGCUUGCUGGAGGUAUCAGAAGUGCGAAUGCUGACAUGAGUAACGACAAUGGGUGUGAAAAACACCCACGCCGAAAGACCAAGGUUUCCUGCGCAACGUUAAUCGACGCAGGGUUAGUCGGUCCCUAAGGCGAGGCUGAAAAGCGUAGUCGAUGGAAAACAGGUUAAUAUUCCUGUACUUCUAGUUAUUGCGAUGGAGGGACGGAGAAGGCUAGGCCAGCUUGGCGUUGGUUGUCCAAGUUUAAGGUGGUAGGCUGGAAUCUUAGGUAAAUCCGGGAUUCUAAGGCCGAGAGCUGAUGACGAGUUACCUUUUAGGUGACGAAGUGGUUGAUGCCAUGCUUCCAAGAAAAGCUUCUAAGCUUCAGAUAACUAGGAACCGUACCCCAAACCGACACAGGUGGUUGGGUAGAGAAUACCAAGGCGCUUGAGAGAACUCGGGUGAAGGAACUAGGCAAAAUGGCACCGUAACUUCGGGAGAAGGUGCGCCGGUGAGGGUGAAGGACUUGCUCCGUAAGCCCAUGCCGGUCGAAGAUACCAGGCCGCUGCGACUGUUUAUUAAAAACACAGCACUCUGCAAACACGAAAGUGGACGUAUAGGGUGUGACGCCUGCCCGGUGCCGGAAGGUUAAUUGAUGGGGUUAGCUAACGCGAAGCUCUUGAUCGAAGCCCCGGUAAACGGCGGCCGUAACUAUAACGGUCCUAAGGUAGCGAAAUUCCUUGUCGGGUAAGUUCCGACCUGCACGAAUGGCGUAACGAUGGCGGCGCUGUCUCCACCCGAGACUCAGUGAAAUUGAAAUCGCUGUGAAGAUGCAGUGUAUCCGCGGCUAGACGGAAAGACCCCGUGAACCUUUACUAUAGCUUUGCACUGGACUUUGAAUUUGCUUGUGUAGGAUAGGUGGGAGGCUUUGAAGCGUGGACGCCAGUUCGCGUGGAGCCAUCCUUGAAAUACCACCCUGGCAACUUUGAGGUUCUAACUCAGGUCCGUUAUCCGGAUCGAGGACAGUGUAUGGUGGGUAGUUUGACUGGGGCGGUCUCCUCCUAAAGAGUAACGGAGGAGUACGAAGGUGCGCUCAGACCGGUCGGAAAUCGGUCGUAGAGUAUAAAGGCAAAAGCGCGCUUGACUGCGAGACAGACACGUCGAGCAGGUACGAAAGUAGGUCUUAGUGAUCCGGUGGUUCUGUAUGGAAGGGCCAUCGCUCAACGGAUAAAAGGUACUCCGGGGAUAACAGGCUGAUACCGCCCAAGAGUUCAUAUCGACGGCGGUGUUUGGCACCUCGAUGUCGGCUCAUCACAUCCUGGGGCUGAAGCCGGUCCCAAGGGUAUGGCUGUUCGCCAUUUAAAGUGGUACGCGAGCUGGGUUUAGAACGUCGUGAGACAGUUCGGUCCCUAUCUGCCGUGGACGUUUGAGAUUUGAGAGGGGCUGCUCCUAGUACGAGAGGACCGGAGUGGACGAACCUCUGGUGUUCCGGUUGUCACGCCAGUGGCAUUGCCGGGUAGCUAUGUUCGGAAAAGAUAACCGCUGAAAGCAUCUAAGCGGGAAACUUGCCUCAAGAUGAGAUCUCACUGGAACCUUGAGUUCCCUGAAGGGCCGUCGAAGACUACGACGUUGAUAGGUUGGGUGUGUAAGCGCUGUGAGGCGUUGAGCUAACCAAUACUAAUUGCCCGUGAGGCUUGACC
rnacentral:rRNA from 1 species